CGUCGCGAGAAGUCCAUUGAACCUUAUCAUUUAGAGGAAGGAGAAGUYGUAACAAGGUUUCCGUAGGUGAACCUGCGGAAGGAUCAUU
rnacentral:rRNA from 1 species